GAAAACUCAAAGGAAUUGACGGGGCCCGCACAAGCGGAGGAACAUGUGGUUUAGUUCGAUGAUACGCGAGGAACCUUACCUGGGCUUAAAUGUAGAGUGCAUUUUCUAGAGAUAGGAAUUCCCUUCGGGGCUUUCUACAAGGUGCUGCAUGGUUGUCGUCAGCUCGUGCCGUGAGGUGUUGGGUUAAGUCCCGCAACGAGCGCAACCCCUAUUGUUAGUUGCCAUCAUUCAGUUGGGCACUCUAGCGAGACUGCCGGUAAUAAACCGGAGGAAGGUGGGGAUGACGUCAAAUCAUCAUGCCCCUUAUGACCUGGGCUACACACGUGCUACAAUGGUUGGUACAACGAGUUGCGAGUCGGUGACGGCGAGCUAAUCUCUUAAAGCCAAUCUCAGUUCGGAUUGUAGGCUGCAACUCGCCUACAUGAAGUCGGAAUCGCUAGUAAUCGCGGAUCAGCACGCCGCGGUGAAUACGUUCCCGGGCCUU
rnacentral:rRNA from 1 species